rnacentral:rRNA from 1 species
CCUACGGGGGGCAGCAGUAGGGAAUCUUCCACAAUGGACGAAAGUCUGAUGGAGCAACACCGCGUGAGUGAAGAAGGGUUUCGGCUCGUAAAGCUCUGUUGUUGGAGAAGAACGUGCGGGAGAGUAACUGGUCACGCAGUGACGGUAUCCAACCAGAAAGUCACGGCUAACUACGUGCCAGGGGCCGCGGGAAUACGUAGGUGGCAAGCGUUAUCCGGAUUUAUUGGGCGUAAAGCGGGCGCAGGCGGGUG